UCACACCGGUCUGCACCGGACGGCGGUGUUUGCACAUGACCCAGCCUCUGCGGACUCUCCUCGAUGCCCAGGACACCACCAAGGACAUAAAUGAGCGGAAUGACAAGGAGACCAGGACCCUGAGCCCCGGCUUCUCCAAGACCUCUUGCUCCAUUUAAACCUCCUGUCGCGACUUUAGAAGCUGCGCAGACGCGUAAAGACCGCGUAGACAGACGCUGUGCCAGGACCCCCUCAGCAUGGCUGCUUAACUGCAGGUGAUUAUUGUUUUGGAAUUCGCGUGGGAGCCUAACCUUCUUGUUCUCGGCCUGUGGAGAGGUGUGUCGCCAAGUUCCAGACAGGUGCUGCGGACUUCGAGAACACAGCCUGCUGGUAAGAUGAAAACUCAUCCUCAUCAUCAUGUCCUCCGGUGGGCAGAGUGGGCACGGGGGGCAGGGGACGCCCAGUGAUCCUGGUCUUAGACACGACCAGGUUCGUAGGAGGGCCUGGAAGCUGUUUCUAGAGGGGCAAGGAGAAGCCCAGUGAGGGAAGCUUGUGGCAGGGUGGGCUUCAGACCGAGGCCUCGGGCCCCCGGCCCAUGCCCCCACGGACCCGUGCUCCUCACCCAUCUUGCGAGCCAUCCUGGGUUGACUCGAAGAAGCAACCACACAUGAAAACGGAGAACGUCGUUGCCUACAUGUGAGGGACCCAAGAAGAAAUUAGAAGAAAUUGCACUGUGA